rnacentral:rRNA from 1 species
AGAGUUUGAUCCUGGCUCAGAUUGAACGCUGGCGGCAUGCCUUACACAUGCAAGUCGAACGGGCUUUGGGGCUUGCUCCAAAGUUAGUGGCGAACGGGUGAGUAAUAUAUCGGAACGUACCCUUGAGUGGGGGAUAACAUAGCGAAAGUUAUGCUAAUACCGCAUACGAUCUAAGGAUGAAAGUGGGGACCGCAAGGCCUCACGCUCCUGGAGCGGCCGAUAUCUGAUUAGCUAGUUGGUGAGGUAAAGGCUCACCAAGGCUUCGAUCAGUAGCUGGUCUGAGAGGACGAUCAGCCACACUGGGACUGAGACACGGCCCAGACUCCUACGGGAG